GGAUCCGUGGUGUAGCGGUUUAUCACGUUUGUCUUACAGCUUUCCAGUUGGGACACAAACGGUCGCCAGUUCGAUCCUGGCCGGGUUCA